rnacentral:lncRNA from 1 species
UACAAAAUAAGGAAGAUCUAGAGAAUAUUGCUGCAAGAUUUAGGUGAGCCACUGAUAAGCUGCCACCUCAUUUCCUCCUAACUGAAUUUGUUGAUUUAUCAUGUGAUGAAAUCUUCUAGAUACUUUGGCAAGAUUUAGGUGAGCCACUGAUAAGCUGCCACCUCAUUUCCUCCUAACUGAAUUUGUUGAUUUAUCAUGUGAUGAAAUCUUCUAGAUACUUUGGCAUGUGGACUUCUCUCUUGGGCCUUCCCAUUGCAAAAUCAUGGGCCACUUCCACUGUGUUUUCUUCAGCCCAUUU